rnacentral:rRNA from 1 species
UACGUAGGUGGCAAGCGUUGUCCGGAUUUACUGGGCGUAAAGAGCGCGCAGGCGGUCGAAUAAGUCGAAUGUGAAAGCCCCCGGCUUAACUGGGGAGGGUCAUUCGAUACUGCUCGACUUGAAGGCAGGAGAGGGUAGUGGAAUUCCCGGUGUCAGUGGUGAAAUGCGUAGAUAUCGGGAGGAACACCAGUGGCGAAGGCGACUACCUGGCCUGUUCUUGACGCUGAGGCGCGAAAGCUGGGGGAGCAAACGGG